rnacentral:lncRNA from 1 species
GCAGGGUUGUGUUGUUUGGUAUCCUUCAGGACCACGAUGGUCAUCUGGAUCUCAUAGAAAUCAAGGCAUUAGAUCCCAUAAGAUUGAGGGGACAAAUCAUGGAUUAUAAACUGGAGAUGGCAAUUGGAUGGGAUCCGGCACGGAUCGAAUAAGAUAUAUAUCAGAUCAAAAAUUUAUCAACUUAAAUUUGAUCUAUUUAUUAAAUAUAUCAAAAAUUUAAAUCAAAAUUUAACUU